rnacentral:rRNA from 1 species
CACGUAGGGGGCAAGCGUUGUCCGGAUUUAUUGGGCGUAAAGAGCUCGUAGGCGGUUCGGUAAGUCGGGUGUGAAACCUCCAGGCUCAACCUGGAGACGCCACCUGAUACUGCUGUGACUCGAGUCCGGUAGGGGAGCGUGGAAUUCCUGGUGUAGCGGUGGAAUGCGCAGAUAUCAGGAGGAACACCGAUGGCGAAGGCAGAUCUCUGGGCCGUAACUGACGCUGAGGAGCGAAAGCAUGGGGAGCGAACAGG